UCUAGUCUGUUAUGCUUUGUCAGCAGCCUACAGCAAAUGCCUAAAAAGGAAGGUGUAAGAAACCCUGUUAUGGAUAAGUAUUGAACAAUCUUACCAUAAGAGAAGGUUCUUCCUAAUCAGAUAAUCAGUACCUGGCCUAUGCCUGAAACAAUUUAUUUCUCUUCUUUUUCUUAGGAUAAUUGUGUACAAGAUGGAAGAUAAAGGGUGAGAUUUGCAGUCAAGGGUGAGAUUUGACUGAAGUCAAAACCACUGUGCUGAUUUACACUAGCUAACAGGAAACACUUCCAUUUUUUCCACCCUCUUCUCUAGUUCAUACUCUGCUGAUGCUGCCACAGGGUCAACCUCUUCAUUACGUCUAUCAUAAUCUUCAUUUGAUCCCACAGACCCAUGCAUCUGCCAUAGCUGUGAGAAGCCUGAUCCUACGCAGCUCUGCACUAUAGUGAUGGGUGUUGUGAGCACAACGUGCCUGAUCUUGCAGUAUUUGCAGAGCCGCCAGAGGAGCCAGGUAGCAGAACAAGACAAUUCCUUGGAGGCUGCCUUGCUGUGGGACAUAGAAAGAAACAAUUCAUGGUUGUUGUUGGCAUUUACAGAGCAGAUGCAGAUGGUGGUGCACCAGUUCUGGGCCUGAGAAACAAGCACUGACUGGUGGGAUUGCAUCAUUAUUCAGGUAUGGGAUGAUGGGCAUUGGCUGCAGAACUUUCACUUGCACAAGGCCACAUUCCUGGAAGUGUUUGCGGAUCUCACCCCAGUCAUAUGGCACAAUGACACUAAAAUGAGAGCUGCACUGACUGUGGCGAAGUGAGUGGCAAUUGCUGUGUAGAAGCUUGCAACACCAGAUUGCUACUGAUCAGUUGGGAAUCAAUUUGGAGUUGGGAAAUCCACCCUGGGGGUUGUUGUGAUGCAAGUGUGCAGAGCCAUUGAGUCCUGCUACGAAGGACUGUGACUCUGUGCAGGACAUAACAGAUUUGUGUAGGCCCAUUUCCAGCAAUGGGGUUCCCAAACUGAGGUAAGGUGAUAAAUGGCACACAUACCCCUAUUUUGGUACCAGACUACCUUGCCACAGAGUACAUCAACAUGCAUCCGACGAAGUGGGUAUUCACCCACGAAAGCUCAUGCUCCAAAACGUCUGUUAGUCUUUAAGGUGCCACAGGAUUCUUUGCUGCUUCAACAGAAAGGGUUACUUUUCCAUGGUAUUGGAAGUGCUGGUGUAUUACUGGGGACUUGUUACCAACAUCAAUGCAGGGUGGUCAGGGAAGGUGCAUGACUAUACAUCUUUAAGAACAUAGGCUGUUCAGAAAGCUGCAAGCAGGGACUUUCUUUCCAGACCAGAGGAUCAUCAUUGGGGAUGUUGAAAUGCUAUUAGUGAUCCUGAAAGACCCAGUUUACCCCUUACUCCCGUGACUUAUGAAGCUGUACACCGGCCACCCUGAUAGCAGCAAAGUGCACUUCAACUAGAGGCUGAGCCAGUGCAGAAUGACAGUUGAAUGUGUCUUUGGCUGUUUGAAAGACCACUGGCACUGUCUACUCUCGAGAUUAGACCACAGUGAAAAAUAUAUCCCUAUGGUUAUAGCUGCCUGGUGGGUGCUUCAUAAUAUUGUGAAGCAAAGGGAGAAAAGUUUCUGCUGGGGUGGAGGGAGGAGGUGGAACAGCUAUCUGCUGAUUUUGAGCAGCCAGAUACCAGGGCUAUAAGAAGAGUUCAGUGUGGAGCUAUUCACCUCAGGGAGGCGUCGAAAAACUGUUUUAGUAAUGAGCCACAGUAAUGUGUGUUGCUAUACUGUGCUCUGCCUGGCCUUGUUUUUUUGCACUCAGGUAUGAACCUUAUAAUGAAUGCUGUGUGUAUAGUAAUAUAACAUUGAACAUGUACCUAUUGCUAUGAUCUCUGAAUGAUGUGAGACCCAGCCAGCAUAUGUUAUAAACUAAUAAAGAUGAUUUCAGUUUCCA